rnacentral:misc_RNA from 1 species
GAUGAAGAACGCAGCGAAAUGCGAUAAGUAAUGUGAAUUGCAGAAUUCAGUGAAUCAUCGAAUCUUUGAACGCACCUUGCGCCCUUUGGCCAUUCCGAAGGGCAUGCCUGUUUGAGUAUCAUGAACACCUCAACUCUCAUGGCUCGCCAUGAUGAGCUUGGAUUUGGGGGUCUUGCUGGCCUGUGGUCGGCUCCUCUCAAAUGGAUCAGCUUGCCAGUGUUUGGUGGCAUCACAGGUGUGAUAACUAUCUGCGCUUGUGGUUUUCCAUCAGAUAACCUACAGUGAUGGAGGUUCGCUGGAGCUCAUAAACGUCUCCCCUAAGCGGGGACAGCCCUUUGAAUGUUUGAUCUCAAAUCAGGUAGGACUACCCGCUGAACUUAAGCAUAUCAAUAAGCGGAGGA